UCUCCCAGCCAGUAGCAAGUCAUUUGUCACAAAUAGCAGCACCCCAUUCAUCUCAACCAUGACAUGUAUCAGGGACUUGUGAUGCUUGUGAUACUUGUGAAAUUUGGGUUGUAUUUUGAAUCCAGUUGGACGUAUUUGGGUUGUGAUACUUGUGAUACUUGUGAAUCUAAUUUGUGAUAUUUUAUGAUACUUGUGAUACCUGUGAUGCUUGUGAUGC
rnacentral:lncRNA from 1 species